rnacentral:rRNA from 1 species
CCUACGGGAGGCAGCAGUGGGGAAUAUUGCACAAUGGGCGAAAGCCUGAUGCAGCAACGCCGCGUGAGGGACGACGGCCUUCGGGUUGAAACCUCUUUUAGCAGGGAAGCGGUACCUGCAGAAAAAGCACCGGCUAACUACGUGCCAGCAGCCGCGGUAAUACGUAGGGUGCAAGCGUUGUCCGGAAUUAUUGGGCGUAAAGAGCUCGUAGGCGGUUUGUCGCGUCUGCUGUGAAAUCCCGAGGCUCAACCUCGGGUCUGCAGUGGGUACGGGCAGACUAGAGUGCGGUAGGGGAGAUUGGAAUUCCUGGUGUAGCGGUGGAAUGCGCAGAUAUCAGGAGGAACACCGAUGGCGAAGGCAGAUCUCUGGGCCGUACUGACGCUGAGGAGCGAAAGGGUGGGGAGCAAACAGGCUUAGAUACCCUUGUAGUC